rnacentral:rRNA from 1 species
GAGUUUGAUCUUGGCUCAGAUUGAACGCUGGCGGCAGGCCUAACACAUGCAAGUCGAGCGGAUGACGGGAGCUUGCUCCUUGAUUCAGCGGCGGACGGGUGAGUAAUGCCUAGGAAUCUGCCUGGUAGUGGGGGACAACGUUUCGAAAGGAACGCUAAUACCGCAUACGUCCUACGGGAGAAAGCAGGGGACCUUCGGGCCUUGCGCUAUCAGAUGAGCCUAGGUCGGAUUAGCUAGUUGGUGGGGUAAUGGCUCACCAAGGCGACGAUCCGUAACUGGUCUGAGAGGAUGAUCAGUCACACUGGAACUGAGACACGGUCCAGACU